UGUGUAACAACUCACCUGCCGAAGCAACUAGCCCUGAAAAUGGAUGGCGCUCUAGCGUCGUGCCUAUACCGGGCCGUCAACGGCACAGUGGGUGUCUGGCCAAUUGGUCAGAGCCGUUAAGCCUUGACGAGUAGGAGGGUCGCGGCGGUGUGCGCAGAAGGGUCAGGGCGUGAGCCCGCCUGGAGCCGCCGUCGGUGCAGAUCUUGGUGGUAGUAGCAAAUACUCUAGCGAGGGCCUGGAGGACUGACGUGGAGAAGGGUUUCUUGUGAACAGCCGUUGCACAAGAGUCAGUCGACCCUAAGCCCUAGGAGAAAUCCGAUGGCGAUGGGUGGCUAAACAUCGGAUGGUGUCCACGAUGUGUAUUUUCAUUGCCCCUGUUGGGCAAAAGGGAGUCCGGUUCCUAUUCCGGAACCCGGCCGCGGAACCGUCACUCUGCGGGCACUCGCCUGCGAGCGCUCGUCGGGGUAACCCAAACUGGCCCGGAGACGCCGGCGGGGGGUCUGGAAAGAGUUUUCUUUUCUUUAUAAGCGUUCGAGUACCCUGGAAUCCUAUAGCAGGGAGAUAGGGUUUGGAACGCGAAGAGCACCGCAGUUGCGGCGGUGUCCGGACCUUCCCCCCGGACCUUGAAAAUCCGGGUGAGGGCUACGCGGAAGUCGCGCCGGGUCGUACCCAUAUCCGCAGCAGGUCUCCAAGGUUAAGAGCCUCUAGUCGAUAGAAUAAUGUAGGUAAGGGAAGUCGGCAAAC
rnacentral:rRNA from 1 species